UUUCCGGUUGAUCCUGCCAGAGGCCAUUGCUAUCGGGAUCCGCUUCAGCCAUGCUAGUCGCACGGGUUAGACCCGUGGCAGAUAGCUCCGUAACACGUGGCCAAACUACCCUCUGGAUCGGGAUAACCACGGGAAACUGAGGCUAAUCCCGAAUAAGGCUCGCUGCCUGGAACGGCACGAGCUGGAAACGCUCCGGCGCCAGAGGAUGUGGCUGCGGCCGAUUAGGUUGACGGUGGGGUAACGGCCCACCGUGCCGAUAAUCGGUACGGGUUGUGAGAGCAAGAGCCCGGAGACGGUGUCUGAGACAAGACACCGGGCCCUACGGGGCGCAGCAGGCGCGAAACCUUUACACUGCACGACAGUGUGAUAAGGGGAUCCCGAGUGCGAGGGCAUACAGUCCUUGCUUUUCUGGACCGUAAGGUGGUCCAGGAACAAGGGCUGGGCAAGACCGGUGCCAGCCGCCGCGGUAAUACCGGCAGCCCGAGUGAUGGCCGCUGUUAUUGGGCCUAAGGCGUCCGUAGCCGGCCGGACAAGUCCGUCGGGAAAUCCACGCGCCUAACGUGUGGGCGUCCGGCGGAAACUGUCCGGCUUGGGGCCGGAAGACCCGAGGGGUACGUCCGGGGUAGGAGUGAAAUCCCGUAAUCCUGGACGGACCGCCGGUGGCGAAAGCGCCUCGGGAGGACGGACCCGACGGUGAGGGACGAAAGCCAGGGUCUCGAACCGGAUUAGAUACCCGGGUAGUCCUGGCCGUAAACGAUGCCCGCUAGGUGUGGCACAGGCUACGAGCCUGUGCUGUGCCGUAGGGAAGCCGUGAAGCGGGCCGCCUGGGAAGUACGUCUGCAAGGAUGAAACUUAAAGGAAUUGGCGGGGGAGCACUACAACCGGAGGAGCCUGCGGUUCAAUUGGAGUCAACGCCGGAA
rnacentral:rRNA from 1 species